rnacentral:lncRNA from 1 species
CUGGAAGCAUGGGGAUGGUGGCUCUAUGAGGCUACUCUGGGGAGCUACUAGGUCUCCUUGAAAGAUUUAAAUCCCAACAGCCCAGGGUGGGGACCACAUUGCAAGGAACUGUGGGCAGCCUCUUGAAGCUGAGAGCAGAAUUCAGCCAAUGGCAAGAAGCCAGGCACCUCAAUCCUGCAGCCACAAGGAAAUGAAUCCUGCUAGCAACCCGAGAAGGCUUAGAAAUGGAUCCUUCCCCAGUCGAGCCUCUGAUGAGACCAUAGUCCUGGUUGACACCAAAACUGUAACCUUGUAAGAAAC